CCUGCAGAAGGAGACACACAGGUGUGAACGAUGCUUGCAGUGUCCAGGUGCUGUCACCUGAAAAGUACAUUUAACAUCUGCAUUGUCUCUCACCUGGCGGGUACACCAGAGCGACAUUAUCUCCUUCCUCCAGACCGCCUCUCUCCAUCAGCAGAGCUGCCACUCCCUCCGCCGUCUGCAGACAGGUGCCCAGUUGUGCGUGGGUGUGCUGGUACCAGAGAGCUGAGCAGGGUUUGGAGAGGACGGGGUCCUGUGUGGUCUGAGCUCUCCACUGCAAACCUCGGACAGGAACAGAAACUGCAAGACAGACAUAAACACUUCUUUUACACACA